UACGUAGGGUGCAAGCGUUGUCCGGAAUUAUUGGGCGUAAAGAGCUCGUAGGCGGUCUGUCGCGUCUGCUGUGAAAACUCAGGGCUUAACCCUGAGCUUGCAGUGGGUACGGGCAGACUAGAGUGCGGUAGGGGAGACUGGAAUUCCUGGUGUAGCGGUGAAAUGCGCAGAUAUCAGGAGGGAACACCGGUGGCGAAGGCGGGGUCUCUGGGGCCGUAACUGACG
rnacentral:rRNA from 1 species